AUCAGACACGGUGUCAGCAGCCGCGGUAAUACGUAGGUGGCAAGCGUUAUCCGGAAUUAUUGGGCGUAAAGCGCGCGCAGGCGGUUUCUUAAGUCUUGAUGUGAAAGCCCACGGCUCAACCGUGGAGGUCAUUGGAAACUGGGGAACUUGAGUGCAGAAGAGAAAAGCGGUAAUUCCACGUGUAGCGGUGAAAUGCGUAGAGAUGUGGAGGAACACCAGUGGCGAAGGCGGUCGUUUUGGCUGUAACUGACGCUGAGGCGACGAAAGCGGUGGGGAGCAAACGAGGAUUACGACUACCCGUGGUACGUCCACGACCGUAAACGAUGAGUGCUAAGUGUUAGA
rnacentral:rRNA from 1 species